GCUUACGGUCAUACCACCCUGAGCACGCCCGAUCUCGUCUGAUCUCGGAAGCUAAGCAGGGUCAGGCCUGGUUAGUACUUGGAUGGGAGACUGCCUAGGAAUACCAGGUGCUGUAAGCU
ensembl:rRNA 5S_rRNA 5S ribosomal RNA